rfam:Ciona savignyi cont_34741, whole genome shotgun sequence.
GCUGUGAUCGUAUAGUGGUUAGUACUUCACGCUGUGGCCGUGACAACCCAGGUUCGAAUCCUGGUCACAGCA